rnacentral:rRNA from 1 species
AUUGAACGCUGGCGGCAUGCCUUACGCAUGCAAGUCGAACGGCAGCACGGGAGCUUGCUCCUGGUGGCGAGUGGCGAACGGGUGAGUAAUAGUAUCGGAACGUACCCUAGAGUGGGGAUAACGCAGCGAAAGUUGCGCUAAUACCGCAUACGAUCUACGGAUGAAAGUGGGGGAUCGCAAGACCUCAUGCCCAUGGAGCGGCCGAUAUCUGAUUAGCUAGUUGGUGGGGUAAAGGCCUACCAAGGCUUCGAU